UGGCUCAGUGGUUAGAGCACUGGCUGCCCUUCCAGAGGUCCUGAGUUCAAAUCCCAG
rnacentral:tRNA from 1 species